GACGAACGCUGGCGGCGUGCUUAACACAUGCCAGUCGAACGGAAAGGCCCUGCUUUUGUGGGGUGCUCGAGUGGCGAACGGGUGAGUAACACGUGAGUAACCUGCCCUUGACUUUGGGAUAACUUCAGGAAACUGGGGCUAAUACCGGAUAGGAGCUCCUGCUGCAUGGUGGGGGUUGGAAAGUUUCGGCGGUUGGGGAUGGACUCGCGGCUUAUCAGCUUGUUGGUGGGGUAGUGGCUUACCAAGGCUUUGACGGGUAGCCGGCCUGGGAGGGUGACCGGCCACAUUGGGACUGAGAUACGGCCCAGACUCCUACGGGGGGCAGCAGUGGGGAAUAUUGCACAAUGGGCGGAAGCCUUAUGCAGCAACGCCGCGUGCGGGAUGACGGCCUUCGGGUUGUAAACCGCUUUCGCCUGUGACGAAGCGUGAGUGACGGUAAUGGGUAAAGAAGCACCGGCUAACUACGUG
rnacentral:rRNA from 1 species